rnacentral:lncRNA from 1 species
CUUUAAUUGUUUGUUAGAAUUCGCCCAGUGAAGCCAUUUACUCCUGGGAUUUAUUUGUUGAGAGGUUUUAUGAUUACUGAUUGUAAUGGGAAAAAACGCAGUUUUCCUCUUUCCUAUGCUGGGAAAAAUACCAGCUUUUCCCUACUGUCUUUCUUUCCUGUGAGUCUCCUUUAUGACUCACAGAAAUCAUUUCACUUCUGGUCCCCAAAUGUGUGGAGGUUUCUCCCCACAAGAACAAGCAGUUCUCAGACAGCAGCAAGGUGUCCAAGAAUUCAACUCAGUUCUGACACUAUCUACCCAGGACAGCACCAGAUCACACAGGAUAUGAUAAAGGAUGCAGAUGAACAGCCAGAUGAAGAGAUGCAUGCGGCGAGGUCUGGGAUGAUCCUGAGUGCAGGAGCUUCUGUCCUCAAGGAGUUGGGGUGUGUCACCCCCCAUGUGGUUGUUCACCCACCUGGAAGUUCUCUGAACCCCCUAUUAUUGGGAUUUUAUGGAGGCUUCCUCAUCCUCCCGGCACAUAGCCGUAGAUUCUUCGCUGUGGGUCCCUCCAGCUGCGGCAUGCGGGACGCUGCCCCAGCGCGGCCCGAUGAGCAGUGCCAUGUCCGCAACCAGGACCCGAACAAACGAAACACUGGGCCGCCUGCAGCGGAGUAUGUGAACUCAACCACUCGGGCACGGGGCUAGCCCCCAGGUGUAGUUUUUAAUACAUAUUUCUGUUGUUAGGUUGAAUUUUAUUUAGGUGUCCUUUAGGUCUAGUUAGUAUUGUUCAACUCUUCCAUUUGCUUGUUGAUCUUCUGUCUCUUUAUUUUACAUUGUUGAAAUGAGAUACUGAAGCUUCCAAUUAUUAUUUUUAAAUUUUAAAUUUCUUCCUUUGUUUCUGUCAACUUUUACCUCAUAUAUUUUGGCAUUCUUUUGUUAGGAAUAUAUACUGUUAUAAGUGUUUUCUUUUCCUGGUAGAUUGACACUACUAUUAUUAUAAACUGUCCUGCUUUUCCAUAAUAACAAUUUUUGUCUUAAUGUCUAUCUUGUUUCAUAUCACUGUAGCUAUCCCAGGUGUCUUUUAGACAUUAUUUGCAUGGUAUAACUUUUCCACUUUUUAUUUCAACUAAUUUUAGUCUGUGAAUGCAGGGUGCAUCUCUUCUAGAAAGCAUAUAGUUGGAUCAAGUUAUUUUUUCUCAUCCAUCUGCCAAUCUCUGUCUUCUAAUUGGAGUGUUUAAUCUAUUUACAUUUAAGGUAGCUACCAAUGAUGUAUGGUUUAUAUUAGCAAAUUUGCAAUAUGUUUUCUAUAUGUCUUAUUUUUCUUAUUCCUUUGUUCCUCCAUUACUGCCUUCUUUUGUGCUAAUGGCUUUCUAGUGGAUAAUUUUAAUUAGUUAUUUUCUUAGUGUUUGCCAAUGGUGUUAUUAACAUCUCAACUUACAAAAAUCUAGUUUAGAUUAACAUCAAAUUAAUUUCAAUAGUAUAUGAAAACUUUUCUACUCUAUAGCUCCAUUCUCUUUUCCUUUUUUGUGCUAUUAUUAUUACACAAAUUACAUCUUU